AUGGCAGGAGUGAAUGGAGACCGUAAAGGAAAGAAAGAUGACAACGGCAUCGGCACCGCCAUCGACUUCAUGCUUUCCAAUGCCAAGCUUGUUUUGGGUGUCGGCGGAGCGGCCAUGCUUGGCAUCGCAACGCUGGCUGUCAAAAGAAUGUACGACCGUGCCAUCAGCGCUCCGACUAGCCCCACCAAGAUGGAGCAGAAAGGAAAGCGAAGCUGGGAGGAGCCCGCCUGGGUGGGCUCUUCACCUCGGGUCCUGAACCACGACAUGAAGGCCACCGUCAGCAGGUCACUCCAGUGCCUGCCCACCUCCUCUAAUACUUUCGAAUCCGACUGUCUGCGGAGGGCCGUGGGUCGGGUUGCGGCGAAAGGCAGCGGCGCCACGCAGUCGGACCUCCUGCGUGCUCGGAUGCGUCUCUCCCUGCAAGAGCGCCUGUGGGACUUCUACCAGAACAACGUGGACAUCCCCAGCGAGGAGCAGGCUCUGGCCCGGAGGGCAGCGUUGGACAUCUGCGCCGAGCUCCGAGUCUUCCUCCACGCCAAAAUGCCCGACAUGCCUCUCAGGGAGAUGUACCUGAGUGGGAGCCUCUACGACGACCUCCAGGUGGUGAUGGCUGACCACGCCCAGCUCAUGGUGCCUCUAAUUCUGGAUAAGAACCUCUGGUCGUCCAUACCCGGCGAGGACACCAUCAUGAACGUUCCAGGUUUCUGGCUGGUCCGCAGGGAGAAUUUGGAAUAUUUCCCACGCAACAGCAGCUACUGGGACCGCUGCAUGGUCGGAGGUUACCUCUCCCCGAAAUCCGUCCUGGAUGUUUUUGACAAGCUGGUGGGUUCCAUCAAUUGGCCGGCGAUUGGCAGCGUCCUGGACUACGUGAUCCGCCCCGUGGUCCCGUCCGAGACGCUCACCCUAGAGGUGCAAUACGAGCACGACCGGAAGCUUUACGUUGACUUUCUUCCGUUACUGGUGAUGGAGGACGGGACGUCUCUGAUCGCCAAACCGCAUCGCCUGGCCGCCGAGCGCCACCAGAACCUGUGGCGGCAGAGCUUCCGCGUGGCCGAAACAGCGCGGCUCAGGGCUCUGGAUCAAGAAGACGGCGGCUACCGAUGCGCGUGCCUCAAAGUGGCCAAGGCCGUGUGCAAGCUCAACGCCGCACUGAACCGCCUCAACGCCAGCCAGCUCACCAACGCCAUCUUGCUGCUGAGUGAAAAACAAAACAACUGGACCCACGAGGCGCUGGCCGACAACUUCCUGCAGUUGCUGAAGGAGCUGGUGGGUCACUUGGAGGCGGGCCGACUGCCCUGCGUGCUCAACCCAAAGGUGAACUUAUUCUGCGAGCUGACCGAACAGGAAGUGGAUGAGCUGGGAUACACGCUGUACUGUACGCUCUCGGAGCCGGAGUCGCUUCUGCAGCUACCACGGCCAUCUUAGAUUUCACGACAUGUGACGGUGUCUUGCACUGUUGCCGUGGUAUUAACGACGUUAGCGUUUGCUAAAUUACGUAAAGCGGUCGGAUACACGGACACGGUCUCAUGCAUUUUAUGGUAGCCAUAUGUCAAGACAUAGAAUGUAAUGUUGAUUGUCUGGAUGUCGACGCAAACGCUAAUAAAUGCUAAUAAAUAUGUGCUUUCACCUGAAGAAGCGACUUCAGUACAUGCGGAAGGAAAGCGGUUUUGCAAGAUGAUGUCAUCAAUACGGUUGCCACAUUCAAGAAGGUGGGAAUCGGGAGUUGGUCACCGAAAUGAGAACAAAACACAGCAGUUUUAUCAGCACUUUUUGGCAUCAACACAAACUAUUCCCUCGUGACUGGAUUUAUACAGAGCUGCUCUUUGUUUCCACUCGCUCCUCCACUUCCACCGCAGUCAGCAUAUCUGUUGCCGUAGACCCAAUUCCCGUGGCCAAUGUAUGCAAUCGGUUGCGUUAUGAGGAAGUGAUGGCCUUACUUUUACUGUAGGUUGUACUCAUUCUGCCAUCUUGACUUUGGAUCAAAGCGGGGGUGUUUGUUUAUUUUUUAUUUUUUUUGGUACAUUGAUUUCCUGUCACAUUUUAUAUUUACAACAACAAAAAAACAGCAAAUAUGGAAGAAAAUAGCAAUCAUUUUAAUGAAUAAUAUUGAAAUUAUGAGUUAAAAGUGGUGAUGUUUUGAGAAAAUAAGUCAUAAUUUUACAAUAAUUAAUACUAUUUGUCUUUCUCUUUCAGCUUUUACCCUUCAGGUGUCACCACAGCAAAUCAUAACUAUAAUACAAUAUAUAAUAAUACACAGAAGGUGCAGAAGAGUGGAACAAUAGUAGAUUAUAAUACAUAUUUAUUCCUGGUACUUUUCAUAAAAGUGAUGUUAAAAUCUCAUAUCCUGUCUUGUGAACUGUCUUGUGACACACCUCAAAAUUUAAAUUGAGAAAAAAUAUUAUAUAUUAGGGAUUAAAAUAAGUCCAAAUAAUUAGGGAUUAAAUUAGAUUAUGAGUAAAAAGACCAAAAUAAAUAAAAAAAAAUCGGGAUUAAAUUAGAUUAUGAGUAAAAAGACCAAAAUAAGUCAAACUAAUUUGGGAUUAAAUUUAGAUUAUGAGUAAAAAGACCAAAAUAAAUCAAAAAUAAUUAGGGAUUAAAUUAGAUUAUGAGUAAAAAGACCAAAAUAAGUCAAAAUAACUAGAGAUUAAAUUAGAUUAUGAGUAAAAAGACCAAAAUAAGUCAAAAUAAUUCGGGAUUAAAUUAGAUUAUGAGUAAAAAGACCAAAAUAAGUCAAAAUAAUUAGAGAUUAAAUUAGAUUAUGAGUAAAAAGACCAAAAUAAAUCAAAAUAAUUCAGGAUUAAAUUAGAUGAGUAAAAAAACCAAAAUAAGUCAAAAUAAUUAGGGAUUAAAUUAGAUUAUUAGUAAAAAAGACCAAAAUAAAUCAAAAUAAUUCGGGAUUAAAUUAGAUUAUGAGUAAAAAAACAAAAUAAGUCAAAAUAAUUCAGGAUUAAAUUAGAUUAUGAGUAAAAAGAACAAAAUAAGUCAAAAAUAAUUACGAGUAAAUGUAAGUUGAAAUAAAUAAAAGUGUAUAAAAAAAAGAAAACUUUUUCAGUACACGGCCCUCGGUGUACUGCCCCCCCCCCGGGCUAAACAUGAUCAUACCAAAUCAUAAAUAUGUUUGAGUUGACAGACUUUUGACGCGUCCAAAGUAUUCACAUGUCUGCUUAUUGUUCUCACGUGUAGCCUUAGGGUGAAGAACCAGUCAUGAGGAACUUCGGUGUUUAGUGCACAUGCGUUCAAUUCCAUUGAACAUUUGAUUUAGAUAUCCUCUUCUAAGUAAGUAAGUCAAUAUUUUUGUAUUUAUUGUACAUUUGCAACCAAAAAAAAAAAAAGGUCACAUGCAAUCAGCAAGUCAUGUGUUUUGUGCAUCAUGAAGUGCUUUUGUGAUGAUUUUACUCUCCAUCUUUACGUGCAUGCGACGUCUUCCUUUGCAGACUUUGAGACUGAGGACUGAGUCACUGUGCCACAUUUGUUCUGUUGAUGUAAAGCAAAACCUGAAAGUAGAUGACUACCUCGUAUCUACCGCGUGGGUUGGAUUCACACAGAAAGGGAAUGUACACUCCAGUCAGAACCAGCAGUUUUUUAAUUCAAAAGAAGCAAAAAGUCAGGUAAAAAAUAAUAAUUACGCAACUUUGAUUGUACCUUUGCUUUACAUUCAAUUUCUGUUCCU